UGGGGAGUACGGCCGCAAGGUUAAAACUCAAAGGAAUUGACGGGGACCCGCACAAGCGGUGGAUGAUGUGGAUUAAUUCGAUGCAACGCGAAAAACCUUACCUACCCUUGACAUGCCAGGAAGGCGCGAGAGAUUGCGCUGUGCCUUCGGGAACCUGGACACAGGUGCUGCAUGGCUGUCGUCAGCUCGUGUCGUGAGAUGUUGGGUUAAGUCCCGCAACGAGCGCAACCCUUGCCACUAGUUGCCAUCAUUUGGUUGGGCACUUUAAUGGGACUGCCGGUGACAAGCCGGAGGAAGGUGGGGAUGACGUCAAGUCCUCAUGGCCCUUAUGGGUAGGGCUUCACACGUCAUACAAUGGCCGGUACAGAGGGAAGCGAAGCUGCGAAGUGGAGCGGAUCCUUAAAAGCCGGUCGUAGUCCGGAUUGCAGUCUGCAACUCGACUGCAUGAAGUCGGAAUCGCUAGUAAUCGCGGAUCAGCAUGUCGCGGUGAAUACGUUCCCGGGUCUUGUACACACCGCCCGUCACACCAUGGGAGUGGGUUUCACCAGAAGCAGGUAGCUUAACCGUGAGGGGGGCGCUUGCCACGGUGGGAUUCAUGACUGGGGUGAAGUCGUAACAAGGCAGCCGUA
rnacentral:rRNA from 1 species